GCGGAGAACCGCAUGGUUGACCCUGAAUACCUACAUGGUUGGGUACAUAGAGCAAUUUGUAUUGCUGGGAAUGUUAACACCUCCCUAUCUAUAGAACAGAGUAAAGCCAUCUUGUUCAAGAUUGAACCCAAGCUAGCCAAUCUUGCCCUCACAGAGGCUGGUAAGGACGCCCAAGGCUUGCUCUUUGGCGAUUCCUUUAUUAAGGCCUUGGGGGCAUUUACAGCCCUUGACAAGGCCCAAGCCUCCAUGAGAUGGGUAUUCCAGGGGCGGGUCUCCACCAGGGCCGGCAGAUUCAGGAGCUGUCUGUCCGGCCGUACCUAUUUCCAAUCCCGUGGCUUGGGACGAGGCUCCUUCCAGCAAAUACCCGUUCCACAUUCUUCCCUUCACAUGGACGCCAGUGGCGAUCCAGGAGUUUCCGUGGCAACACCAGCUGCAGACGACCAUACGGCGAGUUUACUCAUACCUCAUAUUUCUUCUCAUGUUUAUGUAGGGGACAGACUCC